rnacentral:rRNA from 1 species
CCUACGGGAGGCAGCAGUAGGGAAUCUUCCACAAUGGGCGCAAGCCUGAUGGAGCAACACCGCGUGAGUGAAGAAGGGUUUCGGCUCGUAAAGCUCUGUUGUUGGAGAAGAACGUGCGUGAGAGUAACUGUUCACGCAGUGACGGUAUCCAACCAGAAAGUCACGGCUAACUACGUGCCAGCAGCCGCGGUAAUAUGUAGGUGGCAAGCGUUAUCCGGAUUUAUUGGGCGUAAAGCGAGCGCAGGCGGUUGCUUAGGUCUGAUGUGAAAGCCUUCGGCUUAACCGAAGAAGUGCAUCGGAAACCGGGCAACUUGAGUGCAGAAGAGGACAGUGGAACUCCAUGUGUAGCGGUGGAAUGCGUAGAGAUAUGGAAGAACACCAGUGGCGAAGGCGGCUGUCUGGUCUGCAACUGACGCUGAGGCUCGAAAGCAUGGGUAGCGAACAGGAUUAGAUACCCGGGUAGUC